rnacentral:rRNA from 1 species
AAGACCUCGCGCUAUUGGAGCGGCCGAUGUCCGAUUAGCUAGUUGGUGGGGUAAUGGCCCACCAAGGCGACGAUCGGUAGCUGGUCUGAGAGGAUGAUCAGCCACACUGGGACUGAGACACGGCCCARACUCCUACGGGAGGCAGCAGUGGGGAAUUUUGGACRAUGGGCGAAAGCCUGAUCCAGCCAUGCCGCGUGAGUGAARAAGGCCUUCGGGUUGUAAAGCUCUUUCGGCCGGAACGAAAUCGCGCGAGCUAACACCUCGCGUGGAUGACGGUACCGGAAGAAGAAGCACCGGCUAACUACGUGCCAGCAGCCGCGGUAAUACGUAGGGUGCARGCGUUAAUCGGAAUUACUGGGCGUAAAGCGUGCGCAGGCGGCUUCCUAAGUCAGAUGUGAAAUCCCCGGGCUCAACCUGGGAACU